ACUGAGCGAAGGAGAAGUCACUGGAGAGAACCGCCUGCAUGCCCUCCUGCCCACUAAUGCCAACGCCGAUAUGUGCAGCUAUAGAGGUCAUGAUGAGAGUUGAAAGAUAGGAUACAUUUUUAAACAGACAAGAAGGGUAACACCACAUGGUCUCACCAAUAACAGACAUCCUCUUGCGGACGUUGUUGAAGUCCAGCACAGCUAGUAGCUCGUAGGUGGUGGGCACUCCCAUCUCCACCAGAGAGAUUGUCUCUGGGGUACGAGAACGAAAUACGAAGCCGAAAUUCCUUGCUGCGGUGACCAGAGCCCCCUCGUCUGGAGACUGAGCCUGAUGCUUCAAUGCACUUCUACCCUACUAACACAGAUAUACUACUCUUCAACAAUUCACGGACAGUAAUAUUUUUUAAAGAAAGUAAUGGUUUUAUUCA